CGGGGGUACCUUCCUCCAUCAAAGACUGGAAGCGUUACUUCUUUUUUGUGAAGAGCCUGGGCUUUCCCCCUCUGACCUGGAGGGCGGAGACUCAGGUUUCGGAUCCACUUCCAGAUCCGCUCCCUGUAGCCGAGCUCAGCCGCCUACUCAGCUCAGACGAGAAGCUGGAGGUGAAAGAGUUCAGCAAUGCCCAACUCUGGGCGGCGGGGCUGAUCCGAGCUAACCCCUCAGAUCCCUCGCCAGAAAUAGGCCGCUCUCGCCAGACGAGCUGACCUCUUGUAAACGACCUGGCCCUCCUUUUCUUUCCUCUCUUUGUUUUAUGCAUCUACUGACCUUCUGGUCUUCUGCUUUUUGCAGUGAAGAGGUUUUCUUCCCUUCUAACCAUCGGAGGAGCCAGCACUCCAGGUGCUACUACCCAGCCCUCCUCAGCCAUUCCAACCAGCUCGGCACCAGUUCCGACGCCUCAGCCAACUCCUGCUCAGUCCGCCAAGGCUGUCGAGGCUGGGAAGAAAAAGAAGAAGAAGACAACUGCCAAGAGGGCAAGAGUGGAGACGACCUCCUCCCCAGUUCAGGAAGAGAGGUCCACGCCCGAACCUGGUCAGGGCGGUCACUACGGCGUGAAUACUGCCGAGGAGCAAGCCCGAGCUGACGCUCCUCCUAACCUGUGGCAACGCCAGAGUUCUACCCUGCUAUUCGACCCACAGACGCGGCUGAUCACGCACCAACACCCAAUGCACUUCUGUCCUCAGUGGAAACUCUCCAUAAACGACCGAGCUCAAUUCCCAGAGGUGGCCAGGGAGCUCGCUCAGGGGGCCAUCCUUCCAAGGGACCACAGCUUGGUCAAGGCCAUGGAGGCGUCUGACCUCCUCGACUAUUAUUACACAGGCGCGGCCCAAGUGAACUUGGUUGGUUCCGAGCUGGCCAAGCGCUAUGAGGGCCUCCUCCCCCUGAUGAGCGAGACGAGGGCGGCCAAUGAGAAACUGCUCAGCCAGAACGAAGCAGCUGUGGCAGAAGCUGAAGGUCUGAGGAAGCAGCUCGCCCAGGCUCACUCUAAUUUUGAACUGGAGCUAAAGAAGAACUCCGACCUGACCUCUCAGCUGCAUGGGGAGCAGAAGAGGAGCGCCGAGCUGUCUGCUCAGGUCGAGGCGGCUAGGACUGAGGGAGCCCAGGAGGGCGUGCGGGCCUUCCUCAGGUCGGAGGAUUUUAGGGGCGACCUGGCCAUCCUGAAUACUCCCGUGCUGCAUCAUGGGUAUUCUCAAGCCCUGGAGGAGGUGCAAAGGCUGGGUUUGCCUGGGUUUGAUUUGGGCAAGUUUCCCAGCUACAACCCCCUGGCUGUGGAGCAGCUCGACCGCCUGGUGGAGGGUUACACGCAUGGACGGAAGUUGGCCGACCUGGUUGCCGAUCCUCAGCUGCCAGUAACCACUCCUGAAACCGAUCAGGAGGAGGAAGAGGGCGAGAACUAGAGUAGGAACUUAGGAUAGGAUCUGAACUGUCAGUAGGCAGUUCGUUUUGUAUGAGCUUUGCUCUUCCUCUGUGCAAUUCCUUUUGUGCGAGCUUGGCUCCCCUUUGUACAGUUUUAUUGAAUGAAAUGAAAAGGCCUUUCCCCUUGCUUCAUUCUUAGUCUUAUUUGCAAAAAUCGUCACAAAGUGCAUCAGGUCGGUCCAAUACCGACCUGAGGAAACUACUCCCUAAUGAUGAAAUAACUUUUUAGCCGAAUACAUUAAUAACAAAAAGGUCUUGACCUUGGGACGAGCUGUCCUCUUAACGAAAAAUCCUCAAGUUGGAAUUGUGCCAGGUUCGCGGGAGCACUUCCCCGCUGAGGUGGGCUAACUUGCAGUGCCCAGCUCGAUCCGCUUCUUUCACCACAUAGGGACCUUCCCAAUUUGGGUCCAGCUUGCUCGCGCCCAGAACCCGACUGACACUAUUCUUUCGUAAGACCAGGUCCCCUGGUUUGAACGACAGAGGUCUCACCCUAGCAUUGUAGUGCCGCGCGAUCUGUCCUUUGUACUUGGCCAUACGUAUGGCUGCCUCCUCCCUUCUUCCUUCCAGCAGAUCCAAAUUAAGGCGCAGCUCAUCUUCAUUGUCCCGAGCUAUGAAAUUCUGAACCCUGCCCGAUGGAAUUCCUAUCUCCGCAGGGAUCACCGCCUCUGCUCCAUAAGUUAGAGCAAAAGGAGUCUCCUGGGUAGCAGUUCGGGGAGUGGUUCGGUAAGCCCACAAUAUGGUUGGCAGCUCGUCCAUCCACCCAGUUCGGGCGAAUUCUAUCCGUGUCUUCAAACCGUGCAGGAUGGUUCUGUUGACGUUUUCGACCUGUCCAUUGGCCUGAGGGUGGCCAACCGAGGUGAAGUGCUGCCGGAUCCCGAGCUCCGAGCACCAGUCUUGAAGAGCGGUGUCAGCGAACUGACGCCCGUUGUCAGAAACCAGGACAUGAGGUAUUCCAAACCGGCAAACGAUGUUUUUCCAAAGGAACUUCUGCACCGACCUGCUGCUAAUGGUGGUAAGGGGCUCGGCCUCCACCCAUUUGGUGAAAUAAUCCACUGCCACUACCACAUGUUCAUAACCCCCAGGAGCUCGGGGAAACGGACCCAACAGGUCGACUCCCCAUUGGAAAAAAGGCCAAGGACUCUGAAGAGGGAUCAUCUCCUGAGUUGGGACGUGAUGGAUCGGCGCAUGCAGCUGACAGGAUUUGCACCGAGCUACCAGGUCGGCUGAAUCCAAGAAGAUGGUCGGCCAGUAAUAUCCAGACAGCAUUCCCUUCUUGGCCAGAAUCCUUGGGCCGACGUGGUUUCCACAUAUGCCCUCGUGCAGCUCCCGCAGGAUGUAGUUUCCUUCCUCCGGAGUGAUACACCUCAGCCAGGGGCGCAGGUAAGAUUUCUUGUAGAGUACCCCAUUCGAGAGCUCAUAUCCCCGCGACCAUGAGGAGGACCCUCCGUGCCUCCGCCCGGCUUGGAGGGAGUUCUCCACUAGCCAAGUACCGCACGAUGGGAUCCAUCCAUGAGCCCAACACUUGAAUAACAGCUGCCUCUACCUGGUCGUAUGCCCGAUUCCUGACAACCUCUACCAGGACUUCUUUGUUCAAUGUACCGACCGAGGUGGAAGCCAGUUUGGACAGAGCAUCCGCUCUCUUAUUUUGGCUUCGCGAGACCUGCUUGAGUGUGAAUACCUUGAACUGAGCUCUCAGCUCAUGCACUUUGGCGACAUACCUCCUUAAGGGCUCUUCCUUAACCUCAUAACGUCCUCCUACCUGAUUCACUAUUAGCUGCGAGUCGCUGUAGACUUCUAUUGACUCGGCCCCCAACUUCCGAGCUAUCAUCAUCCCUGCGAUUAGGGCCUCAUAUUCGGACUCGUUGUUAGAGGCCCUGAAAUCAAACCUCAGGGCGUAGGCCAGCUCAUCCCCCUUGGGGCUAGUCAAGAGAAGCCCUGCUCCACAGCCUUCCUUGCUUGAGGAUCCAUCCACGAAAAGCGUCCAGGUCGGGAUGGUCCGAUCGACCUUGCCCGUGACCUGUUCAGCAUCAACAGCCUCUUUGACCUGCUCGGCCUUGGCUCCCUUUGUGGCCUGUGCGACCUCGGCAAGUCCCUCGGCCUGCUUGGCCUCGACUGCGUCUAUGGUCUGUUCAGCCAUGAAAGCCUUAGCACCCUUUGUGACCUCGGCAGCUUCUCCGACCUGUCCGGCCUCAGCCACGUCUUGGGUCGAUUUGGUACCGGCGGCUUGUACGACCUCGACAGCUCCUCUGGCCUGUUCGGCCUUGGCUGCGCCUCUGGUCAGCUCGGCUGGCGACUGCUCUUGCCCAAAGGAGAUUCCUUCAGCUAUGAAAUCUGCCAAUGCUUGAGCCUUAAUGGCCGUGCGGGGUUGGUAGCUAAGAUCGUAUUCAGACAACUCCACUGCCCACCUUACCAUUCUUCCUGAUGCAUCAGGCUUUGAGAGAAUUUGCUUGAGAGGCUGGUCGGUCAUGACCACCACGGGGUGAGUUUGCAAGUAGGAUCUGAGCUUCCGGGUCGCGUGCACCAGUGCCAAAACAUACCGCUCAAUUGAGGUGUACCUCGGCUCCGCCCCCUGCAAAGCCCGGCUGACAUAGUAUAUGGGCUUCUGGAUUUUGCCUUCUUCCCGAACUAGUACCGCACUGAUCGCCUCCUCCCCAACUGCCAGAUAGAUGAAUAAGACUUCUCCUUGUGCGGGAGAGGUCAAGGCUGGCAAGCGCGCGAUGUGGGCCUUGAGCUCGUCAAAUGCGCGCUGGCACUCUGGAGUCCACUCGAACUGGGGACCUCUCCGCAGGGCCCUGAAGAAGGGGGAACCUCGGACGGCUGACUUCGACAAGAACCUGUUCAGGGCCGCCAUCCUGCCAGCUAGCCGUUGGACCUCUUUUACGUUUCGAGGAGGAGCCAUGUCCAUGAUAGCUUUUACCUUGUCGGGAUUAGCUCUUACCCCGUCCUUGGAUAUCAUGUACCCCAGGAACUUGCCCGACCUGACCCCGAAGGUGCACUUCUUGGGGUUCAGCCGCAUCCGCGAGCUCCGUAGAACGUCAAAGAUCUCUCUGAGGUCCUUGAUGAACUGAUCCUGAGUUCGGCUUUUUACCAGCAUGUCAUCCACGUACACUUCCAUAUUUCGGCCGAUCUGGUUUUUAAACAGCUUGUUGACCAGCCGUUGAUAGGUCGCACCUGCAUUUUUCAACCCAAAUGGCAUGGUGGUAUAACAAUACGUACCGUAUUCGGUGAUGAAGGCAGUUUUCCUGAUCUUCCUCGUCCAGAGCUAUCUGGUGAUAACCUUUGAAAGCAUCCAGAAAGCAGAAGAUCUCGUACCCCGUGGUAGAGUCUACCAACUGGUCGAUACGAGGGAGGGGGUAACAAUCCUUCGGACAGGCCCUGUUCAGGUCGGUGAAGUCUACACACAUCCUCCAGGCCUUAUCCUCCUUUUUGACCAGCACGGGAUUGGCCAACCAGGUCGGAUAGUAGAUCUCCUUCACAAUUUUGGCCUCCAACAGCUUGCCUACCUCUUCUUUGACGACCUCAUUGCGCUCGGGAGCGAAAUUCCUCUUCUUUUGCUUCACUGGCCGGAUGUUUGGAUCAACGUGCAAUCUGUGAACUGUCAGCUCGGGAGGGACUCCGGGCAUGUCAUCAGCACUCCACGCAAAAAUCUCGGCAUAUUCCUCCAGCAGAGACUCCAGGGCUCUCCGUGUCAGCUCGCUCAGUCCAGCUCCGGUCUUUACCCCACGAUCAGGUCGCUUGAGACAGAUGGGCAGUUCGACCAGACUCUCAUCCGUCUCCAACCUUUCCUCCUUUUCAGCAGGCUCCCAGGGCUCCAGACAGGUCGUCUGGGCCACCAGCUUCUCCUUGCCUUUGAGGGUUGCGAUGUAACAGGCCCGAGCCACCUCCGGGUCCCCCAGCACCUCGGCCACCCCAUCAGGCGUUGGGAACUUCAUGCUAAGGUGCAGGGUCGAACAGACAGCCCGGAGUGCGUUUAAGGUAGGUCGUCCCAGUAUCAUAUUGUAGGAGGACGGCUCCUUUACCACCGCGAAGUUCACCGGGACAGUUCGGCACUUGGGCGACUCCCCUACCGUGACCAUGAGGGUUAUCAUUCCUUCUGGCCUGACUGGCGGACCUGCAAAACCUAUCAAGGGAGUUCGAACGGGGAUGAGCUGCUUGUCUUCCAGCUGCAACUCCUUGAAGGUUUUGUAAUACAGCACAUCGAUGGCACUCCCAUUGUCGAUGUACACUUUCUUUACCUUGUAGUUACACAUGAUAACUUCUACCACAAUUGCUUCAUGGUUAUUGGAGGCUAAGGGUACUGCGUCCUCUGGCCCAUAUAUGAUCUCCUCGUACACCUUUAAUCGCUUAUUCGAGCUCUCCCCGCUGGGAGGAGGCCGGUUGUUUCGCCGAGCAGUGUGGCUAUCUCCUCCAGCAGGUCCCCCGCAAUGGUGUUGAUCACUCCGGCUAGGUUCUGGACCCCCUGCUCCGGAGUACGAUCACGGGGACCUCGAGGUCGGUCGUGCGAGCUAGUCGUCCGAUCUCGCUUGAAACCUCCUUGCUUCUGAUCUGCACGCCCGUCACGGACGAACUGCCCAAGAUGACCUCUCCGUAUCAGUUUCUCGAUCUCCCUUUUGAGGUGCCGACAGUCCUCCGUGUCGUGCCCUACGUCCCUGUGGUACGCACAAUACAAGCCCUGGUCGCGCUGAGCUUUAUCACCCCCCAACGGCCGAGGAGGGCGAGAGAUCCCUUGCUGCUCCAUUACAGCCAGAACUCGAGCUCGGGGCGCGGUGAGCGAAGUCCAGGUCUUCUCUUUCUCCCAUGGUUGGCUCCGAGGCAAGCGCUCGGUAUGUUCUUGCGGCCCUGACCUGUCCGUGACUCCCCCAGGUCGGAGCCCUUCCUGCGCUUGUCAUCCCGCAGCCUUUCCUGGACGCCCUUCAACCGAUUGCUUCCUCGGCAUUUGCCUUCUCAUGAGCUCGGUCUAGCAUCUCCCGGACGGACUUGGGAGGUCUCUCUACAAACUCCGUGUACAAUUUCUGCUUGCGCAGCCCAUUGACAAAGGCUGCCAUCACCACACUUGUCAUCUCGGUCACGCACCUGAAGGGAUUCAUUGUUGAAACGCACCAUAUAUUCACGCAAUGACUCCUCAGGCCUUUGAUGAACAGUCAUCAGGUGAGCCGUGGUUUUGGAAUAAGCGCGAGAGGAGACGAACUGGGCCGCGAACAGCCGCGCGAGCUGACUGAACGACCGAACUGACCUGGGGGCAAACCCUGGAACCACUGUCGGGCCUUUCCCUCCAAGAACAUCGGGAAGGUCUUGCACCUAACUGCAUCCGCAGCUGUCUGUAGGCGCAUCUGAGUCAGGAACGCGAACAAGUGAUCCUCCGGAUCUGUGGUCGCGUCGUAGGAUUUCAUGGUUGGUAUUUUGAACUUGGCAGGCAGAGGGUAAUCUUCGAUAUCCGGUACGAAAGGAGAGGCAGUGUACCUAUCCGCCUCCGGAUCCAGCAGGAGAUCCAGUUCAUCCUGGACCUGAUAAUUCUCCUUCCUAUGAGGGUCCUCCAUCCGGGCAGGCCUCAGAACGGGCUCCGGAUGGCUAGUUCGGGAAUUCCUAUGAGAGGGCUCUGGCACCGGGACCUGCUCGCGUGUAACUUCCCUUCGCGCCCUCUUCGACCUGGGGCUUCCAGAUCGGGAUUCCGAACUCCCUGUUCUGCCCGUUUUCCGCACCCGACGCUCCGGGCUGGGAGGGACCCCAGAUUGUCCCUUCACUGCACCAGAUUGUCCAGAUUGUCCCUUCAAGUAGUCACAUAGCCUCAAAAGUAGGCAAGUUCGCGGCAACCGACUGCACCAGUUGUUCCGGCGAGAUCUGCGAGAGCUCGACCCUUGCCUCCCCUGUGUUGGCUUCCUGGUGAACUUGCUGGGGACCGCCCUGUGCGUUCCCCUCAGCACCAUCCACAUUCCUCUGAAUCUAGUUUCGGCAUGUUGUUCGCGAAAAAAGAGAAUACUUGUUUCCCACAGACGGCGCCAAUUGAUGCGACUGCCGAAGUGAAGAUCCGAACUGAGCUGGUUGAGCGUCCGACCUGCACGUGAGCGAGCUGCGGGGCUGAGUCCCCGUAGCAACUCCGACGAUCAAGUCAGAACUAGUUUGUAAGUAAAAAGAGUAGAGUCUGCACUAUGAGUAGCGUACCUUGUGUUUCUUAUGGGUGUGGUAUUUAUAGAACACCAGGUGGUAGUUUCCUGGUAGGACAAGGAGUCCUUAUUGGAGAGGAUAAGCCUCUAGGGCUCCACUACCCAGCUCUGGUAGACGAGGGCUCCGAAGCCCAUCAGGCCAUCCGCCUGGGAGGCGGCGCUCGUCUGGUCCUGCAAGAGGACCUGACCCCUAGACCAGCCCAUCACGUCAGGACUCUUGGGCCGAGCUGACGUGUAUGCGGACCGGGCCGAUGUGCUCAUGGGCUCCACUACAGUUGUCAAUUUGCAUAAUUUUCAGUGCAGCGUAUGGCGCCUCCGGUGGUCCGAUUGGAACACAAGCAGUCGUGAGCUCAGUGGUAGCCAGUUUGGUUUGGUGGGGUUUUCUUUGACUACUGAGAUCACCCACUUUUCCACCGGGCCAAUGCCUUCUUGCGACCCAAAAUAAAACUACCUCAAAAUGGAAUCACCCCCCAUCGAUUACUACUGUUAUCGAUCAAUAAUGUAAACUUCUUGAUUCACAUUCAAAGCAUUUUUUUUAUCACUAGUUUCUAAUAGACGAUUGUUGACUCUAAACUUCAAAAGCAUGGAAUAGUUAAGCCAAUGUAUGUGCACUUAGCAAAUCACUUCGUCUUUAAUCCCAGUUAUUAUGUUUAAGAUCAUUGGACUACCAAGACUCCUUGGUAUUUAAAAAGUCUUGCAUCUCUACAAUUCCAUCAAGGAGAAUGAAAGCAUCAAAUGGUCGUGCUAUCGGAGAACAUUCUUCUUAUAGGCAGGAUCAUAUAAGGUUUAUGUGGAUCUUUUUAUGAACGCUUAAAAUUUUGCUCCUGAAAACAGGAACAAGUUGUUCCUGAAUUUUGAUUAUAAUUAAGAACUUGAUCGAAACUAUAACUCUACUGCGGAGGUCAUUCGGUUCGAGGGAGAGGAGAGAUGAGAGAUGAGAGAAAAAAAAAAAAAAACUGGUCUAGCUGGUGUAAAAGAAUUCAUGUAUUUGUUCUCAUGUUUGCUGAUUAGUUCACAAAUACAAACACAGCAGUGAGCUGGUGGUCACCAUCAAUACAUUAAAGUUUAGUGGGUAUGAGACAAGGGUUCAAACCUAGUCUCCCCUCAAUUUGCCAUAUUAAAAAAGUGGUUCUACUUAAAAAGUCCAAGUUAGUGCGUAAUAGUGCACUUGUCUGGUCCGAUAAUAGGUCGAUCCCCUCCGAAUUAUCCUUGAAUAUCUCCAGAUCUUUCUCCUUCCCCUACUAUAAAAUAAUCUAUUGUAUACAAAAAAAAAAAAAAAAACAAACACAAUAGUGGUCGAAUCGCAAUAUUCAGAUCAAGACAGCUGCCCAAAUCUCACCCUUCCCCCACACUCCCAACACACACACACACACAAAACACCACCACCACCAAAAAAAAAAAAAAGAAGGCUAUAGAUAUUUUAGAGCUUAGAAGACAAAACCCACAAAUUUGUUGUAAGUAUAGAUACUUUACCUUUCUCUUUAGUGCUAAAAUGUCAUUUGAUAUUCUAACAUAGUAAUUGACAGACACCGUAAAUGUGUUAGAAAGGAAAAAAAAAUGAUAAAUGUGUUGGCAAUUUUUUUCAUUCUAGUGUGAGUAAAUCUGACUUAGCUAAGAUACGUGUCUGACAUGUUUCAUCUUUUCCUUCAAGGCGUCGGAUAUUCCAAGUCCAGCUUAACAUUUAAUGCAAGAUAAUCACUAGAAAGUACUAUUUUAUUCUGAGGUGGACAACAGUUAUUAGGCAAGCAAAAGGCAAGAAUUAGAAUAGAGAAGCAAUUCUAGAGCUAGCAGGUGCAGAACAUAUUAUUCCAACUUGGCAAUUUGGGUGCAAGAAUUUGCAAAAUGAUAACUAUUUUCCACAAGUGUUUUUUGCAACUAUAUAGACUAAGUGUGAAAGCCGGGGAUCCACGGCAGCGUGGUCGUCCUCCACGUGGCGAGAGGCAAUUGGCUUUCUGGUGACGUGGCACGAUGUGAGUGGUAGUCAUAUGUGCUUGGUUGCAUCUGAUUUUUUCUCCUCCUUCUUCGUCCCGUCUUUCCUUCCUUUCGCUUCUGUACUGUUUUUUCUUCCGCUUCCUUCUUCUCUAUCCACUCAUCAACUUCUUUUCUACCUACUUCAACUUGCUUCUUUUUCGCCACAUAUUGGUAUUGUUUCCACUUCAAAAUUUGCCUUUGUUACACUUGAGUUUUUCACUUAUUUCUUUUUCAUUCGUCUUUCCUUCCGUUUGUUUUUGCUACUGUGUUGCUUUCUGCCCACUUUUUUUUUUUUCCUUUUCGGCCAUACACUCCCGCUGUUUCCACUCAAAAAUUACUGUGCCUUCACAGUCCUUACACAUCAUUCCCACAUUCUUUCUGUUAUUUCCUUUCUGAGGAUUAGGUGGCUGUGAUGAUGAAACCUAUUGCUUAUCCUCCUUAUUUCUCUAUACAAUCAGGUAAUUGGUAUGUUCAUGCCUAUUUCGCUGUUGUUGCUGCUCCUCAUCGUUGCCGAUUCCACGGUAUCCGGUGAGCUCCCCUGCUCUUUUAUGGACUCAUUUUACUCUUUAUUCCACAUUUCCCCCUUUUCUCGUCUCGAUCGAUCUCUGGUUUUUAUCGUUUACGUUGCCAUAUGGAUAUUUUGCUGUAUACAUGUUAUUGUUUAUCUUGACCUUGUGCUCUUUCUUUACUGCUUAGUUUCCUUUCGAUUGCCUAAGUCACUUCCCUCGACGAUUCUUUUCUGACAGGCUUGCUACAUGUGCAUUAAUAUAGCUAAUUGCCUUUGUUUUGUCAUAAUUUGUGCAUUUGCUUGCUUUGCUUUUGUUGUGAUUUUUCCUUUGUUUCGGAGGCAUUACUUGCUCUGCUCUAUUUUCUCUUUUUGUAUUUCACUUUUGUAUUUCAAAGACUAGAACAAUGGCUUUAUGGAGCCUUGAGCCAUCAUGGUUAUCUUACUUGGGAGGCUCGUAUGAAAGUUUAGUGGCCUCUGUACAAGCGUAAGUCCAUCUAUAAAUUUCUUCUUGUCUUUGAAGUUAUUGUUAGGUUCCAUUUUAAGUUCAAACGAGAUAUGCUUCUUGCAUUCUUGCAUAUUAGCACGAGGCAAUUGAGCCCAAAAUAGCGCAUCGAGAUAUAAAGUCAAGCAAUAUACUCAUUGAUGAUGACUUCGAUGCUAAAUUAUCUAAUUUUGGUCUGGCUAAGUUGCUUGGUGCAGGAAAAGUCAUAUUACAACCAAAGUUAUAGAUUCCUUUGGAUGGGUAUUUAUAUCAGGCAUCCAAUCUCAAUUGAACAAAGUCUUUUUUUCCUUACUGCUUUCUGUUUACAAGCUCUCUAAUUAACCCAAACUUGGCUUUUCUUUUUCUAACAUUCUCUAUUUUUCCCCUUUUUUAACCCAUAUAGAUAUGUAGCAUUUGAAUAUGCAAAUAGUGGCCUCCUAAAUAAGAAGUGUGAUGUUUAUAGCUUUGCGAUUGUGCUUUUGGAAGCCAUUACUGGAAGAGAUCCUGUAGAUUAUGGUUGCUCUGCACCUGAGGUAUGAUAGAUAGCAAUGUUCGAAUAUAUAUACACAUGUUUGUCUAUAAAUAUCAAAAGUUUUGGCUGAAGAAUUGGCAUGCUUUUAUUAAUGAGUAAACUGGAUUGUUUAAAAUUAAAAAUUCAGAUAAAAAUUGUCAUGAAUAAUAUGAAACUGCAAUUCACAAUUUUCAGCCAUAAUCAAUCACAAUCUGUACUUUAUGUACUUUCCCUUCCUCUGUUUUCCAAUGUUUUCUUGAACCUACAGUAUCCAAGUUUGAUAUAGAAGUUUGAAAAUACACAUCAUGAUGAUUGGUUCUGAGUAUAGAAGAUCUUCUCAGCAUUAUGAAAAAGAUUCAUAUCUUUACUAUCUUGAUUUCCAGUCAUUUGCUGUUUGAAAUUGACCAAUUACGAAGACAUCUUGCCACUCAUGUUGAAAUUGACUCUAUGUUUUGAUUUAGAUUUUAUUUUCAUAAUUUCUACGUUCAUAUUAAAGCCUGAAUCCUUUUCAUCUAAUAAUCUGGUUGCAGGGUGUUCAUCCAUGCAGAUAAGAGAAGCAUCAAUCAGUAUCAGUGUCUUUUUCUUGCAAUAGAUUUUUCACUGGCAAGUGUUUCAAAUCUCUGCUACCAGUCAUUUAGGGUGAUAUAGUGUUAUCAUUGGUCAUGGACCAGAUAUUUCAAAAAGUUUUUCCUUACAUAUGAUUGGAUCUUGAAUCUUGAUUUAUGUUUAGAUAGAAAGUGAUGAGGAUACUUUGUGGAAGGCAAAUGUCAAGGAGACAAAAGAAGAAGUUGCAGGUAGAGGAAUGAACUUCAAGAAAUAGUAAACCACUUUAUUGUUAUUACAUUAGAAGUUGAACUUUAAUCACAACCACAAGUUUGUGUUCAAAUGCAUAUAGGCUCGCACUUGUCAUUUGUUGAAAUAGAUUGCAGUAGUUUCAGUUUUGAAUAAGUAACCUCUGCUCAGGAGUAGUUUAAUAAAGUUUUUGAUUUUUGGACAUCUUGGUCCUUAUUGCUUGGUGGCAAAUGCAUAUGAUAGAAUGGGGCUUAGUCACAAGGUUGAUUGGGAGUUAACCUUGGACUAUGAUGCAAAACAUGGCUUCUCUUCCUCUCUCUCAACCAUUGUUAAUUCAAGGGAAGAUUAAAUACUCAUAUGCAUAUUUAUGAGUCUUUAUACAAUAUAGCUGCAUAUCAGUGAGUCAUUGUACAAUAUAUAGAUAUAGGUAGCCAUAGUUAUGCCAUACUGUCUGUAACAUAUGUAUUUAGAUUGGUUAUGCAUAAAAACAUGUGAAAGGUUCGACCCAUCCACAUGAAUCAUUUAGGAAGAUUCUUGUGAAUGAGAUUGAUUCUUUUCUGCAUUACCUUCUCUAGAACACUCCUCUGAAAAACAUAUAUCAUGGAUGCAGGUUAUUGACAUGAAGAGAGAGAGAGAGAGAUGGCUGUUAUUACUUAUAGUGGAUUCUUGUUUCAUACACUAUCCACAUUUGGUAAUGACUGUCACUCUUCAGUCAAGAAAGAAAUCGCUCAGCAGUAAGUUCUCGUGCUAUUAGUAUCUAUCUCCAAAAACUUUAAACUCCAUUUGGAUGAUGUGCUAUUGUUAUAUUUGAUUGUAUUUUGGCGCAAGUAUUGAUCAAAGCUUGUAAGCUGUGAAGCAAAUCGGAUAGUAGACUAUUUAGCUAAUGUAUGGGAUGCUAACAACAGGAUAUGUUUUAUUAUGAUGUUAUGCUCCACCAUUUUUUAGUUGUAGCAAGAUAGCUGUUUGGGGAUUUUAUUCUCGUUUUGUGUCUCGAUAUGAUUGUAUAUUAUUUUAAAGUUCCUUUAUGCAAAAAAAUUAUGAAAACUGCAAAAGCUAAAACUGUAGCUUAUUUUCACUAUUAAAUAAAAUAACAAAAACUGCAAAGAUAUAGAUGCACUUUUAUGUAACUUUUUAUAUUUAAUAUCUGAAUUUAGAUAAUUAAAUAUUUAUGGACAAGAUUGAAAAUUAGACCGCGUGAUACGCGGUGUCAUCCUCCCAGUCUAUUCUAAAGUUGUUAGUAUUUCGUACGAAAUGAAAUCGAAUCUCUGCUUUGGUGGGAUCGUCAUCGUAUUAUGGGAAAAUAAACGAAAAUGCGUUUCGGGCUUGAUGUGACUGCAGUUGGGAAAGUACAUGAAUCCAUGGCCGAAAGGAUAAUAUAUAUAUAUAUAUAAUAUAUAUACUAGUAUAAUUAACAAAAACAUUUCAUCAGCUUCCAGAAGGGGAAGUUUCAGAUUCCUCGAAGACAGAAACACGAGAAGAAGAUACCUUUUUUUUUUUUGUCAAGCACGAGAAGAAGAUACUUGGAGGAAUCUAACUGCAGUUUCCAAGGAAUUCAAUAAGAUUUUUCACGUAAAUUUGUCAGAAGAAUAUGCACAUUUGGAUGUUGAAGGAGGUCAGUAUGAGAAAAGAAAGGUGGCAGUUUAUUUAGAGUGAAGUGACACGUGUAUUCCAGGUGUCAAAAAAGUUAACGAGGAAGCACGCCUCAAAAUGUGAAGCCAAGUGGUGUAACGAAAGGGAGAAGACAUCUUACUUAAAGUCUUGAGGUCAUGCACAUACAAUGGUAAACAAAUACCAACCUACAACAACAAAAGGGUUUGGAAUCUUGGCCGGAUAAGAUAAACACUGAGAAAAGCGAGCAUAGGAGACGCGCCGCCGGGGGAAAAACCCCGUCCUUUCUUGUUUCGGAGCAUUUGCCACCGGAGUCAACUUGAACUUGUCGGCAAAUUGUUAUCAUCCAAUUAUUUACUAUAAUUGCGGACCCAAGCUUCUGCAGGUGUUGUCUAAGGAGUUCUAGUUGUUGGGUUUUAGGGACACUACGCGGCGGAAAAAUAAAAAAUUUUCCCUAAAACCAUCCAGGAAUCACCCUAGAUUUUACGUAUGAUGUAUAAAAAGUAGGGUUAUAGGAUUACCUUAAUCCAAGCAGCGUCUCCCUGCAGCGUUGUUUGAGGAUGGUCAGCCCUUGAGCAGUCCAAUCGUCCUGCCUCUACUGAUAUCCACGCUAGAGCAACCCUGAGUCGUCUCACGAACUAUGUAUUGAAGAGCAAGAAAAAGUUGCUAGCCCUUCUUGCUCUUAUUCGAAAAAUAUGUGACACUCACAGAUUCUCCCUUUUUCUAUUUGUUACCUUCCCUCUCGUAUCUGUAUCUCAGCCAAAAAACUAUUGGAGAGAGAGAGAGGAUACCUGAUAAUAUAUGAUGAUAAGUCUUCUUGUCUGAUUCAAAAUCAAAAGCCUAAGACUUCUCUUCACUCAAGACUCUAUCUAUCAUCAUCUGAUAGAUAAGAGAUAACCAUUUACUCUUAUCUGCUCAAAUAGGCCUGGGAUUAAUUUUCUUUUAAAAUUAAACCCCGAUAAUUACAUAGUUUCAAUCCAGGAUUAAAUCUCUAUUGCGUGUGACCCAAUAGGUCCCGAAUGUAUUGGUAAUAAUUAUGGUUUAAUAAUUAGAUAAAAUAAACGACUUUAUUUUAUCAUAACUUAUAAUAAAUAAUUAAUCCAUAAUUAUAAAUCACGAGCGGUGUCUAGCAACACAUCGUGAUUGCCCAAUUAUUCGGAAUUAGUCAAGGGAAUUUGACCUAACCUUUCCGUGAAAAAUUACCGUGUAAUUAUUAUCCUUUCACCAAAGAUAUCCAAUUAGUCAGGAAUAAGGAAUAAGUGCCAAUUCCCUGAUGACUAAUUAAAUUUUCUAGUUCCCGAAAUUUACCCUUAAUUAGGUUAAAUUGAAGACAUUCUUCAAUUUACCUAAUAGUCGACUUUAGGGUUAAUUUCUCACUAGUGGCCAUCCGGAUAUCAACUCCUUCUAUCAGAGUGGUAAAUCCUAUCUUGAUCACCCAUUUUCUUUACGUGCUUCACACUACAUCCAACUUCUACACUUUAAGGCUCAAAGAGUAACAAGUAAUUAGAGUCAAAAUGUAGCGAUUCACACUCAAGAUACUAUGGUGAUCUCAAGUCGUAGGAUCACUUACACAAUUUUUCACUAGAGAUACACCAUUGGCACUAGAUAGAUAUCCUAACGGGAUCUCUAAACGGAUCACUCCAAUGCAUUUGUACUUUUCAAAUCAUCUACACAUUAGCCUAAGUAUCUUCAUACCAUAGUUGAUGAGAACAACCACUAAUUACAUUAAUUAGAGGCUAACUGUGUACUAGUUUUACCGUACUAAAGAUGUCCUAUUUCAUUAGUACAAAAACUAGGGAAUUUUAAUAAUAUUACUAUAAAUGCGAUUGAUAUCUCAUAGUCACCAACUCUUGUGACUAUCAUCACAUUAGUAAUAUUAUAAGGACUUUAUCGGUUGUAUCUAAUAUUUAACAGAUAAAUAAGAAGUUAUUAAAAUACAAAACAUAUAAUAAGGAAUGUAUAAAAUAAAAACAAAUACAUUGUUUUAGGGCAUACAUUCCAACAAUCUCCCACUUGCACUAAAACACAUUAUCCAUGUUUUUCAUCCCAUAAGAUAAUACAUGACUAUCAUGCUUCUUUUGAGGAAGAACUUUAGUAAGAGGAUCAGCUAUGUUAUCCUCUGUGGAGACUCUCUCUAUCUUUACAUCAUUCCUAGCAACGAUUUCUCUAAUCAAGUGAAAUCUCCUAAGCACAUGUUUGGAUCGCUGAUGAGACCUAGGUUCCUUGGCUUGAGCUAUAGCUCCAUUGUUAUCACAGUACAAAGUGACCGGAUCAACAAUGGUUGGAACCACACCAAGUUCAGUUACGAACUUCUUGAUCCAAACUGCUUCCUUAGCUGCUUCCGCGGCCGCAAUGUACUCAGCCUCUGUUGUAGAAUCUGCUGUGGUGUCUUGUUUGGAACUCUUCCAACAGACAGCACCUCCAUUAAGAGUAAAAAUGAAGCCUGACUGUGAUUUACAAUCAUCCUUAUCUGAUUGAAAACUCGCAUCAGUAUAGCCUUUGAGCUCUAACUCACCCUUUCCAUAUAUUAAGAACAAAUCUUUGGUCCUUCUUAAGUACUUAAGAAUGUUCUUAACGGCUAUCCAAUGACCCUCACCUGGAUUAGCUUGAAAUCUGCUUGUGACACUCAGAGCAUAGGAGACAUCAGGUCUUGUACAUAACAUAGCAUACAUAAUUGAUCCAAUUGCUGAAGCAUAUGGAACAUUGUGCAUCUUAUCAGUCUCAACUUGUGUCUUUGGACACAUGUUUUUAGAAAGGCUUAUACCAUGAGUCAUAGGUAAAUUACCCCUCUUAGACUGAUCCAUGCUAAACCUUUUUAGCACUUUCUCUAUGUAUGUAGAUUGUGAAAGACCCAGUAGCCUUUUAGAUCUAUCCCUAUAGAUCUUAAUGCCUAAUAUAUAGGCCGCUUCUCCUAAAUCUUUCAUGGAAAAGUUCUUCGACAACCAACCCUUUACCGAUUGUAACAUCGGUAUAUUGUUUCCCAUUAUUAAUAUGUCAUCUACAUAUAAAAUAAGGAAAACAAUUGAACUCCCACUAACUUUCUUAUACACACAAGGUUCAUCCGGAUUCUUGAGAAAUCCAAACUCUUUGAUCGUCUCAUCGAAUCGGAUGUUCCAACUCCUAGAUGCUUGCUUAAGUCCAUAAAUAGACUUUUGUAGCUUACAUAUUUGACUAGGAUUUGUAGAUGUAAAGCCUUCAGGUUGUGUCAUAUACACAUCCUCAUGCAAUGUCCCGUUAAGGAACGCGGUCUUUACAUCCAUCUGCCAAAUCUCAUAGUCAUGAUAUGCUGCUAUGGCAAGCAAUAUCCGAAUGGAUUUAAGCAUAGCUACUGGUGAGAAAGUUUCAUCGUAAUCGAUUCCCUCUUUCUGCUUGUAGCCUUUGGCUACCAGUCUAGCUUUAUAGGUAACCACAUUACCAUCCAUGUCAGUCUUCUUCUUGAAGAUCCAUUUACACCCUACAGGUUUUAUCCCUUCAGGUGGAUCAACUAAGGUCCACACCUUAUUGUCAUACAUGGAAUUUAUUUCGGAAUUCAUGGCUUCUAACCAUUUAGAGGAGUCUGGAUUACUUAUUGCCUCUUGGUAGGUAGUAGGUUCGUCAUCUUGAAUGACUAGAACAUCAUUGCUAUGGCUCACAAGAAAUUGGUAUCUCUUGGGAGUUGAGCGUGUUCUUACUGACCUACGAAGCCCUUGUGUAUAACAGCUUCAGUAUCUACCCCAUCAUUAUGUGGUUGAAGCUGUUCUUCAUAGAUCGUUCAAUGUUUGUUGGAUGAUCCUGAAUUUCUUCAAGAUCUAUUCUACUCCCACUGCUUCUUUCUAGAAUGUAUUCUUUCUCUAGAAAAAUAGCAUGUUUUGAGACAAACACUUUUGCUCAAUUGGAUUGUAGAAAUAGUAUCCUAUAGACUCUCUUGGAUACCCUACAAACAAACAUUUGUCAGAUCUAGUUCAAGCUUGUCUGACUCUGCCCUCUUCACAUAAGCUGGGCAGCCCCAAACCUUCAUAUAAGACAGAUUUGGUUUCUUUCCUUUCCAUAUCUCAUAUGGUGUGGAGUCGACAACUUUAGUGGGUACUCUAUUAAGAGUAUAAGAGGCUGCAUCUAAUGCAAAUCCCCAAAACGAUUUUGGGGCACUUGAGUGGCUCAUCAUAGAACGAACCAUAUCCAAUAAGGUUCGGUUUCUCCUUUCAGAUACACCAUUUAACUGUGGUGUACCUGGAGGAGUCCAUUGUGGAACUAUUCCAUUAUCCUUUAAAUAAACUCCAAACUCGUCAUUUAAGUAUUCUCCACCACGAUCAGAUCGUAGUAUCUUAAUACUUUUAUUGGUUUGUUUUUCUACUUCAUUCUUGAAUUCCUUAAACUUUUCAAAGGAUUCAGAUUUGUAUUUCAUUAAAUACACGUAACCAUAUCUCGAAUGGUCAUCUGUGAAGGUGAUGAAGUAUGAAAAACCUCCUCUAGCAGUGAUCGACAUUGGGCCGCAUACAUCAGUAUGUACUAGCCCAAGUAAAUCACUGGCUCGUUCCCCUUUUCCAGUAAAGGGCAUUUUGGUCAUUUUGCCAAGUAAACAAGCUUCGCAUGUAUCAUAUGAUUCAUAAUCAAAUGAAUCCAAGUAUCCAUGUUGGUAUAACUUGGAGAUGCGUUUUUCAUUUACAUGACCAAGCCUACAGUGCCAGAGGUAGGUUUUAUUUAGUUUAUCUGUUCUCAUUCUUUUUCACUCACAUUGAGAAUUUGAUGAUCAAGAUCUAGAAUAUAUAAACCGUUAUUCCAACUUCCAGAACCAUAAAACACACCAUUUUUAGAAAAAGAACAACAUUUAUUCUCCUGGGUUAUCCGAAACCCAUUUAAAUCCAAACAGGAAAUAGAAAUGAUGUUUGUAGUAAGUGCUGGAACACAAUAACAAUUUAAUAAUUCUAAAAUCAAUCCACUGGGUAAAGUGAUAUAAUAAGUCCCUACAGCUAAAGCAACAACUUUUGCUCCAUUGCCCACACGUAGGUGACUUCUCCUUUUCCCAGCUUUCUACUGUCCCUUAGACCCUGCAUAGAUGUGCAAAUGUGAGAACCACAUCCGGUAUCUAAUACCCAAGAGUCUGAUUUGGAAGUAGACACAUUAAUCUCAAUCAUAUAUGUACCUGAUGAUGAAGCUUCAGCAAGCUUCUUUUGCUUCAGGCUCUCCAAGUAUGACUUGCAGUUCCUUUUCCAAUGUCCAGUUUGAUUACAAUGGAAGCAGGUUGCUUUGGACUGGUCCGCCUUUGCCUUUUUGGGCUUUUGGGUGGGCUUGUUUUGGAUUUCUUAAAUCCCUUUUCUUGCCUCUUCCUCUUCUUAGAGGAAGUAACGACAAGCACACCAGUAGAGCCUUUUCCCUUUUUGAUUUCUUUCUCAGCAGUUUUCAGCACAUUCAACAAUUGAGGCAAAGUGUGCUGCAGAUUAUUCAUCUGAUAGUUCAUAACAAACUGUGAGAAAGAAUCUGGCAGAGAUUGGAGCACUAAAUCAACAUUCAGCUCCUGAUCCAUCUUAAAACCUAAUUCGGCCAUUUUUCAAUUAGCCCAAUUAUUUUUAAGACAUGCGGAGCAACAGGUGCUCCCUCUGCCAUCUUGCACCUGAACAAUUCUUUAGAGGUAUCAUAUCUAACCGUCCUUGAUUGUUGUUCAAACAACUCUCUCAGGUGUUGUACAAUAUCAUACGCCCCCAUGUUCAUGUGCUGCUGCUGAAGCUGAGGAGUCAUGGAAGCUAUCAUGAUACAUGAAGCUUCCCUAUUGUCAUCCUUAUGUUUCUUAUAAGCAUUUCUAACAGCAGCAGGUGCAGUAGGUUCAGGCUCUUGAGGCAUUGGACCAUCAAGUACAUACUCAAUUUUCUCAUGAGUGAGAACGAUAAGGACAUUACGAUGCCAAUCAAGAAAGUUCGUGUCGUUGAGUUUGCAAUCAGUAAGAAUAGUACGAAGGCUCAAAUUGUUACUCAUUCUACAACAAAAUGAAAGAUAGAAUUUGUUAGAAAAAUGUUUUGUUUAAUAAAAUCAUAAAAACUUCAAAAUUAUGAUUUUAUUUCCACUAUUUUUCAAAUCAAUUACCCUCUAAAAUUGAAUCGGGAAUUUCUAAAAUUCCAUAGUGGCUAGGAUCCUAUCUUAAUUUAUUUCGACCUUGAGUGUGUCCCAACAAAUCGAAAAUAAUUAUGAAAGGUAGGUACUUUUACCAAUUACAACUUAUUGUAAUUCCUAGAUCAGUUGGGUGUCAACUCUUGACUUUAAAUCUCUAUGGAUCAACCCAACACUUGCCUCUAAAAUUAAUGAUUUUGAGUGAAUCCCAACAAAUCAUAAUUUUAGUUAAAUCAAACCCAUCAUUCUUGAGAACAUUUCUCAUAGCAAAAACACGUAGUAAGUAAGGCAGCCUUGGGUGAAUCCCAACAAGCUAGCACUUAAUAACUACUCUAGUUUUUACUAUAAUGAUGGAAGGCAUUUUAUUGAUUUAAUAUUAUAGUUGAGGGAUUUGUCUCUUUUUCCAAAAAUAUUUUAUAAUUAAAAUUUGGAAAAAUUGCUCAUUUGGUCUCAUCAAUAAACAUGCAUAUAACCAUAUCAAACUUAUAAACAUGAAUUUAAAUCGUGGAUGGUUGUGGAUAUUCCUAAACUAAUUUCCCCGGCCAUUAGGAAAUUAGCAUGACUAAAAUCUUUAAUACCGACGAACCCCUUCGUUGUAGUAUGCCUCCUUUCUUCUUUUCAAAGUUACAAUUUCUAUAUAAAUAAUAUAAAUUCCUAUCAUCUAUUCCUAUCUAUUGUACAUUACAAAUAGUAUAGAAGAAACCCCGAGUUACAUUGGGGGAAUUUAGAUGAGAAAAGAAAUUACAAUUAGAAAAUAAGAAAGGCAGGACACGCAGGCCCUAUUUUAAAAUUAAUUACAACCAUUCAAACCUAGAAUGAUUGUAACCUUCCAAAAUACCACAAUCAUAUUGCGUACUAUAUCCACAACCAUCCACCAUGCAUUUUCACGAUUUAAACAACUUUAAAUAAAAGAAAAGCAUGUAAAAUAAGCAAUCUCAAUUCAUGGAUUAAUUGGAUUUAAUUCCUAAGGUCCCAAACAAAUUUUGGGUCCAUGCAUACGCAAGAAAUAUUGGUAAAAUUAAAUUUUAUUAGGUCAACUUUAUCCUCAACUAAUUUGAGGAAAGAAUGGGAAAAUAAUUCAAAUUAAUCAAUUAGUUCUAAAUUAAUUCCCAACCUAUAAUAUAUGAAAUAAAUGAUUCCAUAAUACAUUUUAACAAUUAAAAUGGGAUUUAAUUCAGAAGAUUGCCAAAAGUUCAAAACUUCAAGUUUUAGAAAAAAAAUUUUAGUUUCCUAACCACUCUUGCAAUCGUUUUCUAGAAUCACUGGCUACCACCACUGGCCACCAUUUCUACUGUCACCAUUACUGGGUUCUGCACUUAUCACCAGUGGCAACGGCUCCCAGCAGUAGCUCCCAGGUGGUCGCAACAAUGGAGCUCAGCUACAGCAGCAACCUGCUGCAACUUUUCCUUGCAUAGGUUGCUGCUGCAAUUUGCAGCAGUUUUGAUGCAUUCUCAUGCCUUAAAAGCUCUUGGUUUGCUUACCUAGCAACCACCAAGAGCUAUAGCAACUUUCCACUACCACCAAGGAAGCCUCCCAUGGCCUCACAUAGCAGCGGCAGCAAGCGGCAGCCUUUGGAAGAUCGCUGGCAGCAAUCACUCGCAUGACCUUGCGGCUCCCAUGGCCUGCUGCUGCUUUUGGUCGCCUGUUUGCUGGACAGCGGAGCUACCACCGCAACAGCCACCACCACUGGAGUCUCCACUGACCACCAGUGGCAGCGGCUCCUGGUAGCAGCCAUCGGAGGUCAUGGGCAGCAACCGUGAGGAGGCUGCUGUGCCCUGGCGAUGUCCACAGCAAAUCUGCUGCGCUUUUGUCCCAGAGAGCUCAUAGCUCUGUUACCCAGCAACCACCACCAGGCGUGCAUCUCCUACUGCCACCAUGGAAAAACCACCAUGGUCUCUCAUGGCAGCUGCAACUGGCGGCAGCCCUUGCAGCCGCAACAUCGCAGCAGCCGCAGGUUUGUAGAUGCAAACCUGCUAUAUCGUUUUUUUUUUUUUUUUUCAAUGAUCAUCUUGCAACUUUUGCAGAUGAUAAACUUACAUCCACAAGCGAGGCAAAUCCACGGAAAGGAAAAAAAACAUAAUAGCUCCAUCCGAGCUUCCAUAAGAGCAGACGUACGUAGCUUCAAAAGCUUCGUAAGAAAACCUUUCCUUUUUUUAAAAAAAAAAAAAACAAAAAGAAAAACAAUUCUCCAAUAAUUCCGCAUAUUCAAUUAAAUCCAAUUAGGAAUAUUAAUCCUAUUAAUCCAUGAAUCCAAAAUUGCCUAAAUCAUACGUAAAAUUCUUAGGGAUGGCUCUGAUACCACUGUUGGGUUUUAGGGACACUACGCGGCGGAAAAAUAAAAAAUUUUCCCUAAAACCAUCCAGGAAUCACCCUAGAUUUUACGUAUGAUGUAUAAAAAGUAGGGUUAUAGGAUUACCUUAAUCCAAGCAGCGUCUCCCUGCAGCGUUGUUUGAGGAUGGUCAGCCCUUGAGCAGUCCAAUCGUCCUGCCUCUACUGAUAUCCACGCUAGAGCAACCCUGAGUCGUCUCACGAACUAUGUAUUGAAUAACAAGAAAAAGUUGCUAGCCCUUCUUGCUCUUAUUCGAAAAAAAUAUGUGACACUCACAGAUUCUCCCUUUUUCUAUUUGUUACCUUCACCCUCUCGUAUCUGUAUCUCAGCCAAAAAACUAUUGGAGAGAGAGAGAGAGGGAUACCUGAUAAUAUAUGAUGAUAAGUCUCCUUGUCUGAUUCAAAAUCAAAAGCCUAAGACUUCUCUUCACUCAAGACUCUAUCUAUCAUCAUCUGAUAGAUAAGAGAUAACCAUUUACUCUUAUCUGCUCAAAUAGGCCUGGGAUUAAUUUUCUUUUAAAAUUAAACCCCAAUAAUUCACAUAGUUUCAAUCCAAGAUUAAAUCUCUAUUGCGUGUGACCCAAUAGGUCCCGAAUGUAUUGGUAAUAAUUAUGGUUUAAUAAUUAGAUAAAAUAAACGACUUUAUUUUAUCAUAACUUAUAAUAAAUAAUUAAUCCAUAAUUAUAAAUCACGAGCGGUGUCUAGCAACACAUCGUGAUUGCCCAAUUAUUCAGAAUUAGUCAAGGGAAUUUGACCUAACCUUUCUGUGAAAAAUUACCGUGUAAUUAUUAUCCUUUCACCAAAGAUAUCCAAUUAGUCAGGAAUAAGGAAUAGGUGCCAAUUCCCUGAUGACUAAUUAAAUUUUCUAGUUCCCGAAAUUUACCCUUAAUUAGGUUAAAUUGAAGACAUUCUUCAAUUUACCUAACAGUCGACUUUAGGGUUAAUUUCUCACUAGUGGCCAUCCGGAUAUCAACUCCUUCUAUCAGAGUGGUAAAUCCUAUCUUGAUCACCCAUUUUCUUUACGUGCUUCACACUACAUCCAACUUCUACACUUUAAGCCACUCUCAAAGAGUAACAAGUAAUUAGAGUCAAAAUGUAGUGAUUCCCACUCAAGAUUCUAUGGUGAUCUCAAGUCGCAGGAUCACUUACACAAUUUUUCACUAGAGAUACACCAUUGGCACUAGAUAGAUAUCCUAACGGGAUCUCUAAACGGAUCACUCCAAUGCAUUUGUACUUUUCAAAUCAUCUACACAUUAGCCUAAGUAUCUUCAUACCAUAGUUGAUGAGAACAACCACUAAUUACAUUAAUUAGAGGCUAACUGUGUACUAGUUUUACCGUACUAAAGAUGUCCUAUUUCAUUAGUACAAAAACUAGGGAAUUUUAAUAAUAUUACUAUAAAUGCGAUUGAUAUCUCAUAGUCACCAACUCUUGUGACUAUCAUCACAUUAGUAAUAUUAUAAGGACUUAUCGGUUGUAUCUAAUAUUUAACAGAUAAAUAAGAAGUUAUUAAAAUACAAAAUAUAUAAUAAGGAAUGUAUAAAAUAAAAACAAAUACAUUGUUUUAGGGCAUACAUUCCAACACUAGUCUCCUUCCCUAAUUUCUACAAGUCAUGGAAAUAAAUCGAGUAGUACUCUAUUAGUUUUCAAUAACGUGUCAAUUGUUUGGUAUCAGAAGCAUUAUUGUUCUCUAUUAGGAAAAGUUCAUAAUGAAAUGUGUACUUAUGGGGUCAUCAUCAUGAUGAAAUCGGAGUCGCUUUGUAGCAUGAUAUUUACAUGAAGAAGCGUAGGUGAAAUCAAGAGAAAGAUUAGGAUUCGAGAAGACGGGUGCCUACGAAAUUUUCGUGAGAAGCUCAACUUGUUCGCUUAGAAUUGGACAUUCACAUGGAUUAUUCACAGUUUCAAUUUCAAUCUCAGACAAAUCGACAAGAAUCCUAGGUUCCAGAAAUAUGCUCGAAAGACGUGCAAACUUCACAAAAACUUUCACUCUCAUGAACUUCUCCAAAUGGCCAUCUUACCAAUAUCAUCAAGAUGAAAUUUUUCGAAAACUAUAUGCCUAAAAGACUGCUAAUUCAAACCCAUGGGAUCAUCCUGCAGUAAACACUACUACUUACCAAAAAUUUCCUCAAUUAUGAUUAUACUUAAUUUUAGUUGACUUGACUAAGUUCUAAAUUUUUUGACAGCCCAACAAAGUCCUAGUACACCUCUUGACCAAUGGAGAAAAAAAUGGAGAUCCAAAAGUAGAAAGCAAGUAGUGCUGCAUUAAGUACAAAGGAUAAACGCAAGAAAUGACCAUGAGUGAGAGAGAGAGAGCAUUUAAUGCAUUCUGCAACUUCUUGCGUACACAGCAUUUGCCUGUUUACCUGACUGACCGACCGACUGACUGACAUUUGUAUGUCCUCCACUCCCUACCUACAUUCCCUGCUUCCUUCACUUCCUCACUCUUUUUAUCUUUAGCAAGUCUUCUUCACUCUCUUCCUAUCAGCUUUCCUGCUCUUCUGAUUCAUUCUCUUUAAAUUGAUUGCCCUUUCCCUUUCAUUUGCUCACAACUCUUGAAAAUUUCCUUAUACAAUCUUUUCUGAGUCCAGCUACCAAUGAACUCACCACUCCACCAAGAAUCUGUAGAGAAUGGAAGUCCUAAGCAGGUAAUACCAAUUCCCCUGUUUUCUGAAUUUGGCCAUUUAAUUCUUCCAUUUGUAAGAGUCACUCCACCAAUAACCAAAAGGGUUCACUACAAUUUGCUGAGAAUGACUUGUCAUUGUCCACAGCAUUGACGGAGGUCGGUGAAUGACCCACUGUUAGAUUUUCUAGUGGAAAGCCGACGAUAAAGUGUGUAGCUUUUUUUUGUUCUAUGGCAAAUUUUGCUGCAAGGACACAGCUUGCAUCAAUAAUAUUAGUAGGACAAGAAUGUGAUGAUGCAUUUUUGGUGCCUUAGAAUUGGGGAUGGGGCAUUAUGUAUGUUCUGAGUGGUAUUAUGACCAUUCUGCCUUUCCAAAAAUGCAAGCUUUGCAAAUAGAGUGUUUUUUGCCAGUUCAGCUGAAGUUGUCAAUAUAAGUGAAGUCAAGGCUGAAUGAGUGAGGCCGGAUAUUAUGGUUUUUUCAUAGUACAUUAUAUGGCUGGUGAGUUUUUUUUUUUUUCCCGCUUAUAUUUCCUUUAAAUGAUGAUGCCCAUAUCAGAUGAAGUGAAUUACCUCAAUCUUCAAGUACCAAGGAGUGAGGACGUGGAAGUUGCAAUAAAUUUCUGUUGGAUUCGUGAAUGAUGGGGGAUGACCAUUUGAAAAACUAGAAAUUUAUCUCCUCUUUCCACUGGAAAUUAAUUCAUGGACUUCAUCAGAAGAGAAGGACAUUGGCUUUCGUCUACAAAAGAUUUUUUUUGCUUUUAAAUUUGUGGGUUUAACAUUUUUUGAACUUGGUCCAACCUUUUCUGUGUCCUGAAUCAGAACUUGGAAAGGCAUCAUGCAUUUCUGCACUCACAUUGGCUUAUCAGAGCCUUGGAGUUGUUUAUGGUGAUCUCAGUACUUCUCCUCUCUAUGUUUACAAGACCACAUUUUCUGGAAAGCUUAGGGUUCAUGAGGAUGAUGAGGAGAUUUAUGGGUGCUGUCCUUCAUCUUCUGGACGUUUACCCUUAUUGCUCUUUGCAAAUACAUAAUCAUUGUCAUGUCUGCUGAUGAUAAUGGAGAAGGUAUAGUUUGUCAUCCUCUCUGGUCCUUUUUUAUGAGAUUCUUUAGAGAUUCAAGUAAACAAAAAAACUUACUACAACCUAAAAAUUUGGCUUACAUAAUCAAAGUAGUAUCAAUUAUUUAGGAAUCUGAAUAAGAAACUUAUUUACUAGAGAAUUUUGUUCUUGAGCUAUUACUGUCAUGAACAAGUUCGAAUGUGUUUUGCAACUAAAGCGUUAUCCUAUUCUCCUUUCCUAUUGUUAGAGCUUCGAGACCAUUUCAGUUGGAUAUUGUCCGUCUCGCAUAUUUCUAUUAGCCCAAACAUUUCCACGUUCCAUUUUGUAUAUGCUUUGGAGGCCCAAGUGUCUGUACACUUUCAUUUUGACCCUAUAGAGAUGAUGCCUGCAUUACCUUUUCGUGACUUUUUCUUUGGUGCAGGAGGCACUUUUGCAUUAUACUCUCUACUGUGCAGACAUGCAAGACUUAGUGUUCUUCCCAAUCAACAAGAUUCGGAUAAGAAAUUGUCCUCUUACGCAACAGAAGGGUCAGCAGACACUUGGGAUAGCGCUUUUUUGAAGUCUUUUGCUGAGAAGCACCAAAAGUUUCGGAAUAUACUCUUGAUCUUUGUUCUUCUGGGGACUUGUAUGGCCAUUGGUGAUGGCAUAUUUACUCCUGCAAUAUCAGGUAACUUGUUGUAGGCUCCAGAAUACAGUCUCAUAAGUUGUUAACUGGUGGAAUUGGUAGUGAACAGACAUUUUCUAUAUCCAACACCUGAAAGCGAACUGUAGCCUUAGAUGUCUCAAUAUUACCCAUCAUCUUUUCCUACAGAAUGUUGUUUCUUUUUUCAGAUUGUAGCUAUCGUAAAUAAAGUUGUGAUACAUUUUUAUUUUCAGUUCUUUCAGCUGUUUCGGGCGUUAAAAUUAAAGCCUCAGAACUUCAUGAGAGUGAGUCAUUCUCAAUAUGUUAAUUUGUAGAUCUUUCUAGGGGUUCAAUCAAAUUUGAACUUUCUUUUUGUCCAUUCUCACUACUCUAUCUCGUGCAAUAUAUUGAUUCCAGAUUAUGUUGUGGUGAUCUCCUGCGUCAUUCUGGUGGUACUAUUUUAUAUUCAACAUCAUGGAACAAGUAGGGUUGCUUUUUUAUUUGCUCCAAUUGUUAUAGCAUGGCUGCUCUGCAUCAGCAGCAUUGGUAUGUAAUAACAUAAUCAGGUGGAACCCACACAUAUAUCAAGCUCUAUCUCCAAUUUACAUGUUGAAAUUUCUAAAAGAAACAGGCUGGAAGGUUGGGUGUCUUUAGGAGGAGUAGUUCUCUCAAUUACAGGUAUUCCCUUCACUCUUCUGAUAUACUCUUUCUGGUUGGAAAACUUCAUUAAGACUUCACAUUACUGAAUUCUUUUCACAGGCGUGGAGACAAUGUUUGCUGUCCUGGGCCAUUUUUCGGCAUUGUCAAUUAAGGUAAACUAUUAGUCUGAGGACUCUGCUUUCUGUGACUGCCAAUUUGAGAACAAGAAGGCAAUCAUAACAUUUUCUAAUUUAAAAUUUUGAAUAAACCUGCAGGUGGCCUUUAUAUUUCUCGUAUAUCCAUGUCUGAUUCUUGCAUAUUUGGGUGAGGCUGCAUAUCUCUCUCAGCAUCAUCACGAUAUUGAAAGCAGCUUCUACAAAGCCAUACCAGGCAAGAUGUUUAUGAGGGCUUCCAUGUAACUGGCUAUAUUUCUCUGUUGUGUCUUCUAAUUAUGCUACUGAUCUAUGUACAGAACCCGUGUUUUGGCCAGUGUUUAUAGUGGCCACAUUAGCAGCAGUUGUGGGAAGUCAAGCAGUAAUAUCUGCUACCUUCUCCAUUGUAAGCCAGUGCUGUGCGUUACAUUGUUUUCCGCGUGUGAAGAUUGUCCAUACAUCAAGUAAAAUAUAUGGUCAGAUCUACAUUCCGGAAAUCAAUUGGAUAUUAAUGUGCCUGUGUUUAAUUGUGACAAUCAUAUUGAGAGACACAAACAGGAUCGGACAUGCUUAUGGUAUAAACUUUGACCAUAAAUGCUUAAGUGUCACAUGUAAACCAUUUAUGUCCAGACUGACCAUAGUCUUUCAUGUCCUUCCUCUGUGUUUUGGCAGGACUGUCGGUAACAUCUGUUAUGUUUAUAACAACAUGUUUGAUGACCCUGGUGAUGGUAAUAGUAUGGAAGCAAAAGGCUGUAGUGGCUGCUUCCUUCUUAGUAAUUUUUGGGUCGAUAGAGCUCCUGUACCUGUCAGCAGUCUUCUUUAAGGUCCUGGAUGGUGGUUGGAUUUCACUACUUCUGUCGUGGACUAUCAUGGCCACAAUGUUCAUCUGGAACUAUGGAUCCCUCAAGAAGCACCAGUUUGAUUUGGAGAACAAGGUCUCAAUGGACAGGAUAUUGGCUUCAGGACCUAGUCUCGGAAUGGUUCGAGUUCCUGGGAUUGGGCUUAUUUACACCAAUCUAGUGACAGGCAUACCAGCCAUUUUUGGGCACUUUGUGACAAACUUGCCUGCUUUUCAUCAAGUGCUAGUUUUUGUAUGCGUAAAGUCUGUUCAAGUUCCCUAUAUCAGGGAGAAGGAACGGUUUCUAGUAACCAGGAUAUAUCCAGAAGACUAUGGUAUGUACAGGUGCGUCAUCAGAUACGGCUACAAAGACCUACAACAGGAAAACUAUGAUUUUGAGAACAGACUGGUGUCCGAAAUUGUUAACUUCAUAGAAACGGAAGGAGAAAAUGAGCCAACACUAAGGAUGCAAAUUUGCACAUGUUCUGGAAACUCUGAUGAUGAAGCCGUCGAUGUUUCUGAGCAGAUGCUCUCCUAUCCAAAUCAGGGAGAGACAACGAUGCAGUCUAAAAAUAUCGGAGUGUUGAUUUCACAAGAUGGACAUUGCAAAAGACCUCACCUGAAGGAGGAAUCAGUACACAUACUGAGAGCUAGGGAAGCUGGCAUGGCUUACAUCCUGGGGCAUUCUUAUGCCAGGGCAAAGAAAUCAUCUUCGAUUUUCAAGAAAGUAGCCAUUAACGUAAUUUAUGCUUUCUUAAGCAGGAAUACUAGGCGACCUGAGGUGGUGCUGAAUGUGCCUCCUACAUCAUUGUUGGAAGUGGGUAUGAUUUACCAUGUCUAAUUUCUGACAGAAUCUGCAGAGAGAAGCGUCAGGAUAUGCUACAUUGCGACUGACUUUUGUGAUGGAAGCUGGUGAACAAACAAAAUGUUACCCGAGUUGAAGUUUCCUCAUCUAUGAUGAGCUUCAGGUUAAAAAUUUAGCAGUGCUAAAUGUACUCUGUAUAUACAAGUGCCAGAACAUGAUAAAAAAAGCAGUAGAUAUACAUUUGAAUACACAAAUUUUCGUAUCUUUUUGGGGUUUGACCACCGAUUGUCAAAAAAGAAAUAAAACUGAUAAUUCUCGUCAUAAGGUUGGAAGCUCGGCCGCAUAAUUAUAUCCAAAAUUUGUUGAGCGAUUCAAAACUAAAACCACUGACCAUAUGGUCUUUUGUACUUCAUUGUGCAUAGUCUUGUAUAUCUCAUUAGUGCAGGUGCCCAUGUUUGCUCAUAAAAAACAAACUAAACCCUUAAUGGGUAAGAUCUAAAUUUAAAUUUGGUGGUCCAUUUUGGACAGAACCAGCAAAUCUGGUUUAUAAGCUAUUCAUCCAUUAUUAAAGACCUGAAGAAAUCAAUAAUGAUUUGUGUGCGUCAAAUUGUUUCAUGCGGUGAUUCUCACUUCAUGAUCAGCCACAACCCCCCAACAAAAACACUUUGCACCAAAAAAUUCGAAAAACAUUAUUUGUGUGCCUUUCGAAUUGCAUAGCCAAAGGCCCCAUCUCUUAACACAGAUGACAGAGUUGUCAUCAUCAGGGCCAACGCAGACAAAUGCAACAGUGAAUUAGUAAAAAAGAUCUAAAAUGUCAGUCGCACUCAUUUGGUUGGCUACAUUCAAUUCAAUGUGGCUUUCAAUUAAGAACAGACGAGCAGCGGCCGAUUCCCUGCAAGAUCUCAAUAAAUUAAACCCAAGAAACUCAUUUGGUUGGUUGAACUUGAAAGUUCAAACUCGGAAACCCAAACAAUUUCUUUGACUGAUCAAUUGUGACGGACGGCCGGAGCUUCCCUUGGACCCAAGGCAAGUAACACCUACUACUAUUUAUUUGAUAAAAAUCAGUGCUAGGAAGACUUUUUUGAGUCAAGGUCCUCAACACUCCCACUACGCGGACUUGGUAAUCUGAUCUGAUACAUUACAUUACACGGCUGAUUUUCUUUCCCAACAGCUGGGCAUCACUUGGAGCAGCUGUCAUGAAUUCAAGCGAAGUAGCAGCACGUUUUCUUGCAGAAAGGACCUUGGUUCUUUCCCAGUAUUAUCAAGCGCAUUCUUCUUUCAAUAUAAAUUGACGACAUUAUAGCUACUUUCAAGUGGCAUAUGGUAACUUAAAUUGCUUGAUUUCUCCACUUAAUCAUGAGUUUUUUUUGAUUAUGUAUUCUUCUUCAACCACCAAAGAAAGUGAGUGAGUGAGUGAACGUUAAAAUCAUUAUAGAUUCGGUCGGUGUAAAUAUAAGCCACAACUCCUCAUUGAUCGAUUGAAGGGAAUCAAUCAAUGCAGAUUUAAGUAAAAAUUAAGUUAAGAUUUGGGCGUAGCCUGUAGGAAAUAAUAGGGGCUACACUUUUUCUUAAUUUCCCCUCCUCCGUCAGCAUCAGUCACAAUACACGCGCCCCUUUGUUUACCAUGCUUUUCGACUUCUUCACCUAGCCAGCUUCACAAGCAAAGAAUAACUCCCGAUAUUGAAGACUUCAAGUGGCAGACAUGUCACAAAUUUUUCCACAUGGACUUUUGAAAUGCAACACCACACACACACACACAAAGAAAAAAGGAAAAAAGAAAAAAGACUACUGCUGUUCUUCCAAACAAAUGAUUUAGAUCCCCCCCCCCCAAUCCAUAGUUCAUCGAGUUUUGUACGUGUGUCUAGACUUAAAUCAUGCGGUUGCUCUUUUGCAAUCAAGAAAAAAUUUCGUCGGUUGCACCCCGUUGAGGUUUAAUUAAUGAUCCAGACUAAUUAUUGCUGACUCUUGCGAGUAAAUCAAGUAGUAGAAUUUAAACAUCAGAAUAAUUUAUACCCCACGCGCGGUCGCGGUGUUGAUCUCACUGUUGGAGUUUCAUUGCCUCUCUACCCUCCCUCACAAGUCAUGGCCAAGACCACAUGAAAUAUUGGGCAGAGAAAAAGAAGAGCACAUUGGGCAGGAAAAAGGUUUAAUUUCUUGGAGAGUGUAAGAGGAGCAAAAGACUAAAAUACAUCAACCGGUAACAUCCGUUGAAAAUUAAAUGGCACCUAACUUGACAACUUAGAGAAAGCUACCACACAAAUCUCUUUUCCUAAUAUUCCUGCAAACUCUUACAAAACCACUCCUGGGCUCAGCUCUCAAUUAGACUAGGAAGUGAGCGAAUUGGUGCUUGCGUAUCUGCAAUGGCCCAGACGCCCUCCCAACACGACAGAAUUCCUCUUUGAAGUAUGAAGCAUGCAGGGCUCAGCCGUAACAAACUGCAAGCUGUCCAGCCAUCCCUGACAGACCAAGACAAGAAGAUCAAGCUAUCUGUAUCUCCUGCUUCUCUAAUCACGAGGGACAGAAAUGUUGGAGGAGAUAAUGCCGAUGGAUGGCGGCAUCGCGAGGAAAGAACUUGAAGCUUCUCAGGUAAGGAUCACUUUCCUGGAGAAGGAAAAUUUGGAGCUGAGGCAAGAAGUAGCCCGCUUGCGAGCACAAGUGACUACGCUAAAAGCCCAUGAUGUCGAGAGAAAAUCCAUGCUCUGGAAGAAGUUGCAGAGUUCCACGGACGCCAAGACACAGACAGAUCUCAGCACAAGCAGACUUUCGCGGUGGAGAAGCCAGAGCCUAAUCUCGCAUUGGAGGAGAAGAAAGGCGCGAGAGAAGAUCUCAUAAAACCUGCAGCUCAUAGAGAAAGACAAGCCAAAUCAGUCAAAUUAGCAUUGCCGGGGCCAAUACCUGAAUCAAAUGGAAAUAGGUUGUUGCAUGCCCCUGCAGCGCGCGCCGCCCCUCCCCCACCACCUCUACCAUCAAAACUUCUUGGUAGAUCAAAAACUCUCCGUCGCGCUCCAGAGGUGGUGGAAUUCUACCGAGCGCUUAUGAAAAGAGAUGCCCAGAAGGAGAACAGAGCUGGUUCAACAGGACAUCCGCCAAUCCUGAGUCCGAAGAACAUGAUAGGAGAGAUCGAAAAUCGAUCACUUACCUCUUAAAUGUGAGCGCAGUAAUAUCCAUUUUCAUCACCUUUUUAUAUCAGGAAGUUGGCAUGACUCCUAUUAACUGCACUUGAGCACAACUCAAUUGGAUUUUCAUUGUUGUUUUAUCAAAAUUUACAAAUCUUGAUUUUUUUUCUCGAGGAUUUUAUUUUUUACUAUACUACACGUCAUGUCCUCGUGAUGCAGAUAAAAUCAGAUGUGGAAACGCAUGGGGAACUAGUGAGUUUCUUGUCAAGGGAAGUGCAGGAUGCAGCAUUUGCAGAUAUUUCCGAAGUGGAAUCAUUUGUAAAAUGGCUAGAUGGGCAAUUAUCCUGCCUGGUCGAUGAGAGGGCUGUUUUGAAGCAUUUUCCGCAGUGGCCAGAAAGAAAAGCAGAUGCACUGAGGGAAGCCGCUUGCAGCUACAGAGAAAUGAAAAACCUGGAAUCUGAAGUCUCGUCAUACAAGGACAAUCCAAAACAGCAGUUGACAGAGUCCCUGAGAAAAAUGCAGGCAUUGCAAGACAGGCGAGAAUGUACACACGCUUGUGGUUACUACAAUCUGCUAGUUUUUUAGAUCCCUUGAAAUUAUAACAUGUUUAAACUGAUCCGAGCGCAGAUUGGAGAAAAGCACUAACAACAUUGAAAGGGUGAGAGAAGGCAUGAGCAAGAAAUACAGAGAAUUGCACAUUCCUUGGGCAUGGAUGCUGGAUACAGGAGUGAUUGGACAGGUAGGUGGAAACACCGGAGAGCUUCAGUGAAAAGCUUUUAGUAGGCACAGUAGUCAUAUUACUACUAAUCUUUCUUCAGCUGAUAAUGACAUUUCAACGGCUGAAUAAUAAAAAUACAAAAAUUACAUACCGCCUAAUUAAGACUAGCGAACUCCUGCCACUUGACUUGACAAUCAGUAAUUAAUUAAAGACGACACGAAAGCCGUUUGCAAUUUGCCCUUCUUUUAACCCCAUUCCCAUCGCUUUUCUCUAAGCCACGGGGCUUCUGAAUCCUAAUUUACAAAACAUGUGAUUAUUAAUGAUUGAUUGUUUAACAAUAUAGUCUGUAUUCUUUGCAGCUAAAGUUCAGCUCAGUGGCGCUGGCAAGGCAGUACAUGAAGAGGAUAGCUAAGGAACUGGAAAGCAGUGGAUCCGUCCAAGACGACGACCUACUAAUCCAAGGGGUUCGCUUUGCCUAUCGAGUUCACCAGGUGUGCGGGGCUGUCUGUUUAGUGUUUAUAUACCCAUCCUUAACCUCCCAAGAUUCCCAUGGAAUGGAACUUCCCCUUGCUAAACUUUUGCUGGGACUUUCUGAUUGAUUUUACCUUCCGCCACGUUCUAUUCUACACUAACAAUCAAAAUCGUCCAGUUUGCAGGCGGUUUUGAUGCAGAUACUCUGCUCGCAUUUGAAGAACUACGGAGAUUUUGUACGACCGGCCCAACACAAUAGUGAAAUUACAAGCUUCUCUAUAAAUGCAGAUUACAACCGAAUGUCGCUAGAUAAUGCGAGAUUUUUUGUGCAAGUGUGAUCCAUUUACAGAACGAUUGAAAGCGCUGUAUCACUACCAUCUCGCAAGUGCAAUCCAUUUGCAGAAUUACUACCACUGGUGCUACUCUCUCCGCUUAGAGACUUCACUAGGACCAUGUAAAAUAUUGACGCGAAGUUCUUAAACAAACGCUAUUAAAUUUUUUUUUUUUUUUUGGUACCUCAUUAUUAUCUUCUUUGCUCCACCAAGCCCAAAAGUUUAAUCGAAUGAUUUUGGCAUUUACUCCGUAUUCUGAACCAACAAAUCAUCGUACCCCUGCUACUAAUUUUCUAGUGCUUCCCAUCCGAAAUAACAUACUAGACGUAUUUCCCAUCCAAAAAGCUAUAUAUGAGGAUCCAUGAUGGCCUUGGAAAAACCAACCAACCAACCAAAAAACAAUUUCUUCUACCAUACGAGGAGAGAUUCGCAGUAAAUGUAGUAUUGUUGGAUGUCUAUGUGAUAUGAAACUAGAAACUGGAAGAUUUGCUCCAUUUCAAUGCUCAUCUGCAAGCCACAAUCACCAAUGCAUUACUAUGAAAUAUUCCAUGGACAUUCAGACUUUAAAAUGGACUACAAUGGAGCUAUCCAGUGCAUUCAUGUAUGAUGCAAAAACUGCGACUCAAGUUCUUUUAGCACCAGCAUGGCAACAUACAUCAAAAAUGUAUUAGAGUACAACCCCCAACAAAAGUUACGACGAGUGCACCAAGGAAAAUUAACUAAGCAGAAACUUUGAUAGGGUGAGCUUUAGAAAACCAAAACGGCACACGCUGAACAAUUUCCAGGCAUCUUAGAACAUCCAACUUCUCUCAGCUUUAGCAGAAUAAAAUGCCUCGUCAGAGGGCCAUACAUGCCCAUAAUCAAUGCCAGAAACCUAGAAGUAUACAAAUAUUUCAUCAACUUUUUCCUGGCAAAGGUCGUGUUUGCAGUUAUAGAUGUCUACUUUGAUAUCCUUCUAGGUAUGAUGAACUGCUUGAUCACCUUCAAAUGAAUCCUAUAUAUGCAACGGGCACAAGAAUCAGGCCAUAACCCUGACCUAAACAGAGAAUUCCACCCAGUGGGAUUGUGUCAAAAUCCGUGAACACGGAAAUGGUCUUCCUGGGAGUUGCAUUACACCCCGGAAAUUGCACUCAAAAGUUUUAUUUCGUUUAGUUUGACCCCUGUCCAGAUUAGCCAGUCAAGAGUCACAAGCAUUCAACCCAAUUGCAAACACACCACCGUCCAACCAAAUCACAAAAAACUAAACAAAACUAAUAAGCCGAAAUCAACACGAAAAUUGAUCUGCCCAAUAUCACAAAACCACUUCCUAAGUCGGACUUUCACAUAAUAAUCCCAGUUGCAGAAUUACAUCAAGUACCAUAAAAACUAAAACUUGCAGUUUCAAGUUACAAGUUUAAGUCUCAACACAUCAUCAUGACACAACACGAUAUCAAUUAAAGAAAGAUUAAAAUUGCACGUUUAUUUGUUGCGGGGUUACUUCGAUCUCUGCCUCAUCUUUCGGCGCUUUCUCUUCAACCUCCUCAUCCGCUUCUUCUUCCACUGUAUAUGCAAAAUAAAAAUCACAACAAAUCAAUAUCCUUCACUUCCCAGCUAAAAAAUCAAACCAGCAUAUGAGCAAUAUAAAUUAAUGAUGAGUUGAUUAACAACCUUAGCUCUCAUUGUUGCAGAUUGACGAGGAUUUCCUUACUUCUUCUUCCCCUUCCUUUUUUCUUCUUUUGCAGUCCAAACAAUUUGCUGCGGCGGGGAGCAGAGUAAAAUAAUGAGGGGUGGGGACGAUGCGAUAGGAGCUUAUAAAGGAAACCCUAGACCAAAAACUGCGUAUUAAGAGUAGUUUAUGAAUUGGGCGGCGAACUUGGGAUGGGUCCCUUGUAAGUGAAGUUUGGACCAAAUCCGACUCUCGCUGUUUUGACGAAGCGAUCCGAAUACUUGAACCCGGCAUCCAAAGCCUGUACGGGCUAAUUACGUUUUUCCACGCCAAUACUUUAUAUAAAAUUAUAAAUUUUUUUUUUUCAGAGACGACAAUUAUUAUAUAACCUAUUUAUCCUGAACUACAGGAGAGAAAGAACCUAAAAAGCCUUUGUGUUAGGGACUAAUAAAUUACAGACCUUAUUAGAUCAAGAGAAUGAUUUGAUAUAAUUCUUGAAUUUUUUUUGCUGCAGGUGAGAUAUGAACCCCCACCUACAGCCCAAACAAGGUCUUAAGACCCACCUAAAAUCAACCUUGGUGUUAUUUUGCGCCCUAUUUUUUUUUUUUGGGGUUCGAAUGUUUUGCGCCGUAAUGUGUCUGAGAAAUUGGAGGUUACUCCUAAUAAAAAACGUAGAAGAAAUUUUGUGUGUUGCUUUGCGCGACCAAAUAUUAAUUAAUUCUCAUUCAUCAAUCAAAUGUAUCCAGACGUUGUCCCCACACAAUACAGGGAGUUAUGGUUUUUGUUCAUUUCUUAUAUUAUCAAAACAUUCCUUUUUUUUCCCCUAGGAUCUCUCUUAAACAAAAAAAAAAAAAAAAAAGAGAAAUAGAUCGAGAAUGAGACAAGAUUCUCAAGAACCAUCAAUUAUUUUUAUACCAGAGAAUUCAUGACUGAAGUCUUACGGUUCAAAAUUUGCAUAAUGGAUAUUAUAAUUUGGAGGAACUUUAGAAUUGUUAUAGAACUAUGUAGAGAUAUACGACGCUAAUCUGAAUUCACUAAUGUGUGUGCAAUUAAUAGGAAAAAUAUUUAUAAAAUUUUUUAUUAUAUUUAUUGAAAUCAUUUUGAGUUCAUUAGACGAUAGCUUUAAUGAGUAGUUUAUUAUGGGUGAUGCUGAAUAGAAAGAUGUUUUCAACAAUCAUAGCAAUUAUCGUGAGUUUACAAAAGAUGCGACAAUAGUUAUCAUCUUUAACAAUGUACGUGAAAGUUUGUAAAAUUGUUUGAUCUUAACAUGAAGGAACAAUUUUGGUAAAAUAAAAGGUAACAGCAAAAGUUUACACCAAACCAAACCCUAGCUCCUACUUUAUAGAGUAUUAUUUGAAAUAAUUACUGUGCACUUUUUGUAAUGUGAUGUAUGUGAAAUAAAAAGGUAAUUAAAAAUAUAAAAAGGUAAGUUGAGAAAUGUGUUUAUGAUACAAACGAAAUAUUAUUUGAGAUAUUUGUACUAUCCAAACACUCCCGCUAAUAUUCAUUGGUUUACUUAUAAGGGAUAUAAUCAAAUUAAAUUGAACUCAAAUUUCGCUAUACUCGAGUUUGAAUUUAACCCCAAUAAUUACAUUUCAACUUCAAGCUCAAACUCAUUGAAUUUUUUAAUUUCAUAACUUGAGCUCGUCUAGAGUCAUUCGAACUCAAGUCGAGCAAAUUGCAAAUCCAUACACAAUUGUGUCAAUUUGCACGUAAUACUUUGGACUCAAAUCUAAAACAACAAUGAAGAGAGUGACGAAGAGAUAUGGGGAGAAGCAGUGAUAAUAAAGAGGCAUUUAAGAGCUAGAGAUGGGAGCAGAACAGUGAUGAUAGAGAGGUAUUUAAGAGCUAGACAUGGGAGUAGAAGAGUGAACAGGCACAUGGAAAGAUAAUUGAGCCAGGGAAGGGGCAAAAGAGUGAGUGAGCAAGCAGAUGGAAAGACAAUUGAGGGAUUUCUAGGGUGGUGACAACUCAAAAUGAUGGAAUUAAAGUGAGAGAGAAGAGUUGAACAUGAUGAGUGGUGUGUGUACUACUUAAGGUUCUCAAUGUAGCUUGAAAGUCAGCAUGCCUUUUAAGUUGGACUGUGAAUUUCCCUUAGUAGCGUGUGUGUGUGUGUGUUAUUUGCGGUUGUUGGUAGAUAAGAAAAAUCAUGGAGUGGUAAAAGCCGUUGGUGAGCCUUUGACAAUAGUCUUGGUGUUUUCCUUCCCCCUUUCCCUCUAUCCCACAUCGAUUUUGAGUGGUGUGUGUGUGUACUAUUUAAGGUUUUCAAUGUAGCCUGAAAGUCAGCAUGUCUUUUGGGUUGGGUUGUGGGUUUACCUUAGGUAGUGGUGUGUGUGUUAUUUGCGGUUGUUGGUGAGUUGAACAUGAAAGUAUAUAAUUUUGGAAAGGAUUUACAAAUAAUUUUAUAAAUAAAAAAAAAAAAUAUAUAUAUAUAUAAAAUAAGCUGAUAUUUACAAAGUUCGAUAAGAAGGAUGAAAAAAAAUUAUAGCUAGAACUCGACUCAAUUUCUUAAUGAUGAUGCUCUACUUGAGAUCAGUUUGUGUACGAGCCAACCAAGAAUGUCUUGAAUGGAAUGCCAAGUUAGUUGUGACUGCGUUGUAGGUGGGUUCACUUGCACAUCCAUUUUGUCAUUGUCAGUGAAUAAAUUGCCCCAUCUGGAGCGAGUAGUUGAAGGUUGAGUUCUUGACCAUAAUGGCUAGUUUGGAUGGAACUUAAGAUUUGAAUAGAAAAUAUAAGAAAGGAAGGAAAAGUUGACUUGUCAAUAGAUUUUCGACAGAUAGAAAAGAAAAAUUCGAAUGAAAAACGAAAAAAAAUUAUUGAAAGCCUACUAAUACUUGUUAAAUAAUCAUGUUGCCCUGUUAGAAUGACUUCCUUUCUUUCACAAUUUAUUGUAAGUUUUCUCGUACUUUCCUUUCUGUCCUAAACUCACAAACCAGCUGAAAAGAGAAAUGCAAAACGCAAAAUAAAGGGAAAAAGAAAAGAAAAGAGGAGAGCGAAGAAAUCAACGCCAAACCGUCGCUAUCCUGUACCAAUCCUUCAUCAUCCUAUUCCCUUCUUAUCGAAAACGCAACAGAACGCACGCUCGUCUCGCCUUUGCACUUUGCAGAGGAAACCAAACCAAAAAAAAAAAAAAAAAAAACCAGCAAAUUUUGCAGCCAUAUAUAAACAGCUUGGAACUUUUCAAUAUCCUCAUCUUUCAAAUCUCAGAUUCUCAAUCCUCCUCCACCCUAUCCACUAUACCAACAGGCCCAACUCCAACGAGCAACAACAACAACUGGUAGCAGUGGUAGUUUCUUUACUUUGCAUAUUCCUAUUCUCAGCUCAGAGCCAAUACCAGUAAUAAAUUCAACGGUAGAUGAAACCACCACCUCCGUAGUUGAAUCCCUACAAAUUUUUCACACCAGUAAGAAUUAGAGAAGUAAAGAAGAUAAUGGGGACUGGUUCAUCAAAAACCCGGACUGCAGCAGCUCCCAUGGCAGCGACGACAGGGAAGACCAAGGCGGGGGCCAGCUCU
rnacentral:lncRNA from 1 species